GGUAAUAAGGUUGCUACUUGCUGGCGAUGGCCUGUUUGCCACAUAAAAAGAAAUGAACAAAUUACAAAAAUAAAGCCAGUUACAUUUUCUGUAGAAACCUUUGCUACAUCAAUUGCCAAAAAGAAAAGAAAAUAAAAAAGCACACAUUCAAAAUUUCUCACUUAUUCGUAUCAAAGCAGCAGCUGAUAGCAUCAUUAUUUCCACUCAGCCAUAUAAUCACCAGUCACGAUGAGGUCAGGAGCCAUUCUGUUGACUAGAAUCAACUCUCAAGCACCUUAAGAGGGAAGAGUACUCUGAAUGUUUGAAGGCAUCAAGAUGUUGAAACCAUCCGCUGCAGUGGACACGAGCAUACCAGGAAUCUGGCCAUGCCAAUGAAGCUCUUUCAAAUCUUUUUGUCCCUGAUGAACAAACAAAAGCUGAGGGGGUAUAUCUGCUGGAGCAUUCACCUGCUCAUUUGUUUUAGCUCUAAAUUCUGCUUCCUCUUCCUCAUCCUUCUCUAAAGAAAGGUCCCAUAUUGUCAACUGAUUGUCAGAUGAUGAAACUGCUAGAACAGAGGCUUCAUGUGGACUCCACUCAAUGGAUGUUACAGGUUGCUUAUAGUAUUGAAAAUGUGCGACGACUGAUUUAUCUUCUUCCUGAUUUUGUGAUAACAAUCUAAGAUCACGAAUAGAAAAUGUCCCAUCAUCACUUCCAGAUGCCAGCAUAACGCUAGCCAACCUGUUCCAUGAA
rnacentral:misc_RNA from 1 species